UCCCGGGACAGCGCUCCCUGCUCCCUGGGAAGUGCUGGGGAUGGUUUUGCCCAGGGCUUUUGGGAGGGUUUCCUCUGUGGGAGGGAGACCCCAGAGGUCUGGGGCUUCCUCAGUUUCCACUCCAAGGAUGUUUCACAGAGCUCGGAAAUAGUGUGGAGAGUGACCGGGGCAAGGCCAUAGCUCCCCAUCCCCCGGUACCGCUUUGGUCAUGGCCAUUGACAUCUGGCUCCCAUGGCCUUAUCCGACCCAUCCUCAUGAAGAGGAACUACCUUUCUCUAAUGUCCUCGAAGAGACAAGACCCAAGACACAGAAGACAAAAAAUCCCUGGAGGCAGCCAAACAUCUGGACCAGAUGAUGAGUGCACAGGUGAGGGUGCUGGGAUGGCUUCUCCAGCAGUGGGGAUGGAAGAUGAUUUGGAGCCCUUGGGAAUUUCUGCAGGUGUGUCUGCAGGGAGGACUUUUCAAGCCCCAGGGCUGGAUGCUGCACACAAUCCCAGCUCCCAUGGCAGGGCGAUGACCCAAAAUCUGGCACAGAAGGUGGCUGUUCCAGGAAGAAGCAGCGGCUCAGUGGCAGCCUCUUCUGCAGGAGAACAGGCAGUUCCAGGCACUGGCACAGCAGACGUUAUCAAUGAAACAGGAAUAUAUGCCCCGGAUCCAGUGCGCUUCCCAAGAAUUGUCUGCCCCCAGGAUGUGCUCAGGACCGGCAUGAUAGGCACGGUGUUGACAGUGUUCACUGUGCCACUUGUGCUGAUAGGCUGCUAUCUUGGCAUUCGUAAGCUGUACGAGCUCAGACGGUCAGUUGUUGAUUUUUCUCCACAGUUUUCUUAUAACUCUACUUCUGGCAUUGGUAGCAUGACUGGGAGUCAUGCUACUGUGGAGUUGUGGCCAGUCCAUUGUUGUCCAAAGAACUCUGCUGAGGGUUCUGCUGCUGCCCAGUGCUUCCAUUGGCCUCUUAAUUGCUGGGCCUUGUUCUGUG